AUUGAACGCUGGCGGCAUGCCUUACACAUGCAAGUCGAACGGUAACAGGUCUUCGGAUGCUGACGAGUGGCGAACGGGUGAGUAAUACAUCGGAACGUGCCUAGUAGUGGGGGAUAACUACUCGAAAGAGUGGCUAAUACCGCAUGAGAUCUACGGAUGAAAGCAGGGGAUCGCAAGACCUUGUGCUACUAGAGCGGCCGAUGGCAGAUUAGGGAGUUGGUGGGAUAAAAGCGUACCAAGCCGACGAUCUGUAGCUGGUCUGAGAGGACGAUGAGCAGCACUGGGAAUGAGACACGGCCCAGACUCCUACGGGAGGCAGCAGUGGGGAAUUUUGGACAAUGGGCGAAAGCCUGAUCCAGCAAUGCCGCGUGCAGGAUGAAGGCCUUCGGGUUGUAAACUGCUUUUGUACGGAACGAAAAGCCCCGGGUUAAUACCCUGGGGUCAUGACGGUACCGUAAGAAUAAGCACCGGCUAACUACGUGCCAGCCGCCGCGGUAA
rnacentral:rRNA from 1 species